UACGGGGGGGAGCAAGCGUUGUUCGGAUUUACUGGGCGUAAAGGGCGCGUAGGCGGUCAGCACAAGUCAGUUGUGAAAUCUCCGAGCUUAACUCGGAAAGGUCAACUGAUACUGUGCGACUAGAGUGCGGAAGGGGCAACUGGAAUUCUUGGUGUAGCGGUGAAAUGCGUAGAUAUCAAGAGGAACACCUGCGGCGAAGGCGGGUUGCUGGGCCGACACUGACGCUGAGGCGCGAAAGCCAGGGAGCGAACGGG
rnacentral:rRNA from 1 species